rnacentral:rRNA from 1 species
CCUACGGGAGGCAGCAGUGAGGAAUAUUGGUCAAUGGGCUUACGCCUGAACCAGCCAAGUCGCGUGAGGGAAGACUGCCCUAUGGGUUGUAAACCUCUUUUGUCAGGGAGCAACGCCGGCUACGUGUAGCCGGACUGAGAGUACCUGAAGAAAAAGCAUCGGCUAACUCCGUGCCAGCAGCCGCGGUAAUACGGAGGAUGCGAGCGUUAUCCGGAUUUAUGGGGUUUAAAGGGUGCGUAGGCGGAAUGCCAAGUCAGCGGUAAAAUCGCGGGGCUCAACCUCGCUCCGCCGUUGAAACUGGCGUUCUUGAGUGGGCGAGAAGUAGGCGGAAUGCGUGGUGUAGCGGUGAAAUGCAUAGAUAUCACGCAGAACUCCGAUUGCGAAGGCAGCAUACCGGCGCCCAACUGACGCUGAAGCACGAAAGCGUGGGUAUCGAACAGGAUUAGAUACCCUAGUAGUC